rnacentral:rRNA from 1 species
GACGAACGCUGGCGGCGUGCCUAAUACAUGCAAGUAGAACGCUGAAGGAGGAGCUUGCUCUUCUGGAUGAGUUGCGAACGGGUGAGUAACGCGUAGGUAACCUGCCUGGUAGCGGGGGAUAACUAUUGGAAACGAUAGCUAAUACCGCAUAAGAGUAGAUGUUGCAUGACAUUUGCUUAAAAGGUGCAAUUGCAUCACUACCAGAUGGACCUGCGUUGUAUUAGCUAGUUGGUGGGGUAACGGCUCACCAAGGCGACGAUACAUAGCCGACCUGGGAGGGUGAUCGGCCACACUGGGACUGAGACACGGCCCAGACUCCUACGGGAGGCAGCAGUAGGGAAUCUUCGGCAAUGGACGGAAGUCUGACCGAGCAACGCCGCGUGAGUGAAGAAGGGUUUCGGAUCGUAAAGCUCUGUUGUAAGAGAAGAACGAGUGUGAGAGUGGAAAGUUCACACUGUGACGGUAUCUUACCAGAAAGGGACGGCUAACUACGUG